CUCGAGCUGCCAUGGCAGGUAAGGCAGCAGGCUCCUCCUGCUCCUGGCACUGCGGCCCUCCAGGUGGUCCCAGUGCCCCACAUCUCACCCAGCGCCCAUUUGGGCAUUUCCCCACAGAGAGAAUCUCUUCAUUGAUGCCGACGGUGCUUCGGACACCCGACGCCACUGUAUUUGGACCUUUUGUGCCCCCACUGUCCGCUGCUGCAAUGCAGCCGCAGGUGCUCCCCGUGCCCUGCACCCUGCCCGCCAGCUGGGAGCGGGCGGUGGGGCCCCUUGGAGAUGCCGUGGUGCUCACGGAGGACCAGGGGCACCCAGCGCCCACCGACG
rnacentral:lncRNA from 1 species